rnacentral:rRNA from 1 species
AUGAACGCUGGCGGCGUGCCUCAUACAUGCCAGUCGAGCGAACGGACGAGAAGCUUGCUUCUCUGAUGUUAGCGGCGGACGGGUGAGUAACACGUGGAUAACCUACCUAUAAGGCUGGGAUAACUUCGGGAAACCGUAGCUAAUACCGGAUAAUAUUUUGAACCGCAUGGUUCAAAAGCGAAAGACGGUCUUGCUGUCACUUAUAGAUGGAUCCGCGCUGCAUUAGCUAGUUGGUAAGGUAACGGCUUACCAAGGCAACGAUGCAUAGCCGACCUGAGAGGGUGAUCGGCCACACUGGAACUGAGACACGGUCCAGACUCCUACGGGAGGCAGCAGUAGGGAAUCUUCCGCAAUGGGCGAAAGCCUGACGGAGCAACGCCGCGUGAGUGAUGAAGGUCUUCGGAUCGUAAAACUCUGUUAUUAGGGAAGAACAUAUGUGUAAGUAACUGUGCACAUCUUGACGGUACCUAAUCAGAAAGCCACGGCUAACUACGUG